GAAUUAUUGGGCGUAAAGAGCUCGUAGGCGGUUUGUCGCGUCUGCCGUGAAAGUCCGGGGCUUAACUCCGGAUCUGCGGUGGGUACGGGCAGACUAGAGUGCAGUAGGGGAGACUGGAAUACCUGGUGUAGCGGUGAAAUGCGCAGAUAUCAGGAGGAACACCGAUGGCGAAGGCAGGUCUCUGGGCUGUAACUGACGCUGAGGAGCGAAAGCAUGGGGAGCGAACAGGAUUAGAUACCCUGGUAGUCCAUGCCGUACACGUUGGGCACUAGGUGUGGGGGACAUUCCACGUGUUCCGCGCCGUAGCUUACGCAUUAAGUGCCCCGCCUGGGGAGUACGGCCGCAAGGCUAAAACUCAAAGGAAUUGACGGGGGCCCGCACAAGCGGCGGAGCAUGCGGAUUAAUUCGAUGCAACGCGAAGAACCUUACCAAGGCUUGACAUGAACCGGAAUGCUGCAGAGAUGUGUCAGCCACUUGUGGCCGGUUUACAGGUGGUGCAUGGUUGUCGUCAGCUCGUGUCGUGAGAUGUUGGGUUAAGUCCCGCAACGAGCGCAACCCUCGUUCCAUGUUGCCAGCGGGUUAUGCCGGGGACUCAUGGGAGACUGCCGGGGUCAACUCGGAGGAAGGUGGGGACGACGUCAAAUCAUCAUGCCCCUUAUGUCUUGGGCUUCACGCAUGCUACAAUGGCCGGUACAAAGGGUUGCGAUACUGUGAGGUGGAGCUAAUCCCAAAAAGCCGGUCUCAGUUCGGAUUGAGGUCUGCAACUCGACCUCAUGAAGUUGGAGUCGCUAGUA
rnacentral:rRNA from 1 species